UACGGAGGAUGCAAGCGUUAUCCGGAAUGAUUGGGCGUAAAGCGUCCGCAGGUGGCUAUGUAAGUCUGCUGUUAAAGAGUGAGGCUCAACCUCAUAAGAGCAGUGGAAACUACAUGGCUAGAGUGCGUUCGGGGCAGAGGGAAUUCCUGGUGUAGCGGUGAAAUGCGUAGAUAUCAGGAAGAACACCGGUGGCGAAAGCGCUCUGCUAGGCCGCGACUGACACUGAGGGACGAAAGCUAGGGGAGCGAAUGGG
rnacentral:rRNA from 1 species